UAAAACGUUGCUUCGGCGGGAACAGACGGCCCUGUAACAACGGGCCGCCCCCGCCAGAGGACCCCUAACUCUGUUUUUAUAAUGUUUUUCUGAGUAAACAAGCAAAUAAAUUAAAACUUUCAACAACGGAUCUCUUGGCUCUGGCAUCGAUGAAGAACGCAGCGAAAUGCGAUAAGUAAUGUGAAUUGCAGAAUUCAGUGAAUCAUCGAAUCUUUGAACGCACAUUGCGCCCGCCAGUAUUCUGGCGGGCAUGCCUGUUCGAGCGUCAUUACAACCCUCAGGCCCCCGGGCCUGGCGUUGGGGAUCGGCAGAAGCCCCCUGUGGGCACACGCCGUCCCUCAAAUACAGUGGCGGUCCCGCCGCAGCUUCCAUUGCGUAGUAGCUAACACCUCGCAACUGGAGAGCGGCGCGGCCAUGCCGUAAAACACCCAACUUCUGAAUGUUGACCUCGAAUCAGGUAGGAAUACCCGCUGAACUUAAGCAUAUCAAUAA
rnacentral:rRNA from 1 species